GACGAACGCUGGCGGCGUGCUUAACACAUGCAAGUCGAACGGAAAGGCCCUGCUUUUGUGGGGUGCUCGAGUGGCGAACGGGUGAGUAACACGUGAGUAACCUGCCCUUGACUUUGGGAUAACUUCAGGAAACUGGGGUUAAUACCGGAUAGGAGCUCCUGCUGCAUGGUGGGGGUUGGAAAGUUUCGGCGGUUGGGGAUGGACUCGCGGCUUAUCAGCUUGUUGGUGGGGUAGUGGCUUACCAAGGCUUUGACGGGUAGCCGGCCUGAGAGGGUGACCGGCAGAUUGGGGAAGGAGCCCCGGCCCCGACUACAAGGGGAGGGAGAGGGGGGAAAUAGUGCAAAAGGGGGGGGAUCCUGAAGCGGCCACGCGGGGGGGGGGAGCGCGCCUUUGGUGUUAUACCCCGCUUCCCCGUGAGACGGGGGGGGGGGAAGGGUAAAAGGAAAAGAAGCAGCGGAAAGCUA
rnacentral:rRNA from 1 species